AAGAUACUUCCUCCGUUCGGAAUUACUCGUCUAAGAAAUGAAUGUAUCUAGAUGUAUUUUAGUUGUAGAUACAUCCAUUCUUGUGACAAGUAAUUCUGAACGGAGGGAGUAGAAG
rnacentral:pre_miRNA from 1 species